rnacentral:rRNA from 1 species
GAUGAACGCUAGCGGCAGGCCUAACACAUGCAAGUUGAGGGGUAACUAGAGUGAUAGCAAUAUUACUUUGGCUAGACCGGCGCACGGGUGCGUAACACGUAUGCAACCUACCUUAUACUGGGGAAUAACUUCGAGAAAUCGGCGCUAAUACCCCAUAACAUUGCGAAGAGGCAUCUCUUUGCAAUUAAAGCUCCGGCGGUAUAAGAUGGGCAUGCGUCCAAUUAGCUAGUUGGUGAGGUAACGGCUCACCAAGGCUACGAUUGGUAGGGGUUCUGAGAGGAUGAUCCCCCACACUGGUACUGAGACACGGACCAGCCUCCUACGGGAGGCAGCAGGGAGGAAUAUUGCGCAAUGGACGAAAGUCUGACGCAGCCAUGCCGCGUGCAGGAUGACGGCCCUAUGGGUUGUAAACUGCUUUUGUACGGGAAUAAACCCUUCUACGUGUAGGAGGCUGAAGGUACCGUAAGAAUAAGCACCGGCUAACUCCGUGCCAGCCGCCGCCGUAAAAC